AAAAAAGGAGAAGAGCUAAAGCUCAACAGAGAAACUACAUCAACCGCAAUCUGGUAUAGGAAACACCAGACAAAUCAUUGUUCAACCAACAGACAAGGGACUAUGAGGGGUCUAAAACUGAUGAAUCCCAACAGGAAGAGAAGCAGCAAGAUUAGCUAGCCAAUUAGCAUAAAGUUCCCUUCUCUGCAAACAUGUUGAACCUCAACUGUCCAGUCACCCUGAAGCAACUUGCAGAGUCACAUAACAAGACAGCGAAGAUAACCAGGGGGCUCUUCAUCGCACAGAACAAACCGAACAGCAGAGGAGCUAUCACUUUCAAUAACAAUUUCCUUGAAACCUCUGAAGCGAGCCAGGACUAGACCUUCUUUGAUGGACAAAAGGUCACCUGCGAGAAUUGAAAAUGAACCCCAAUUGGUUGCAAACCAAGCAAUCCAACGCCCUUACGAAUCUCUGAGAACACCCCCUCCAAAAGCCAACGUUGAACUACCUCGAACUGAGCCAUCUUUAUUUACCCAUCCUGUUGGCGGAGGCAACCAAGAAAUGACGAGCUCUACUUUCGAUAAAUGGGGCCUUCAUGUCGAACACAUAGAGGACAAGGCUCAAUUAGCGAAACUAGCA
rnacentral:misc_RNA from 1 species